GUGGGGAAUUUUGGACAAUGGGCGCAAGCCUGAUCCAGCAAUGCCGCGUGCAGGAAGAAGGCCUUCGGGUUGUAAACUGCUUUUGUACGGAACGAAACGGUCCUGGUUAAUACCUGGGGCUAAUGACGGUACCGUAAGAAUAAGCACCGGCUAACUACGUGCCAGCAGCCGCGGUAAUACGUAGGGUGCGAGCGUUAAUCGGAAUUACUGGGCGUAAAGCGUGCGCAGGCGGUGCUGUAAGACAGGCGUGAAAUCCCCGGGCUCAACCUGGGAAUUGCGGUUGUGACUGCAGUGCUGGAGUACGGCAGAGGGGGAUGGAAUUCCGCGUGUAGCAGUGAAAUGCGUAGAUAUGCGGAGGAACACCGAUGGCGAAGGCAGUCCCCUGGGCCUGUACUGACGCUCAUGCACGAAAGCGUGGGGAGCAAACAGGAUUAGAUACCCGUGUAGUCC
rnacentral:rRNA from 1 species